UCGAACGGGAUCUUCGGAUCUAGUGGCGAACGGUCGAGUAACACGUAGACAACCUGCCUUUCAGUGGGGGAUAACAGCUCGAAAGGGCUGCUAAUACCGCAUAGGGCGGCUAGGCGAUGCCUAGCAUGCUAAAGGAGCAAUCCGCUGGGAGAUGGGUCUGCGGCCUAUCAGGUAGUUGGCGGGGUAACGGCCCACCAAGCCGACGACGGGUAGCGGGUCUGAGAGGAUGAUCCGCCGGACGGGGACUGAGACACGGCCCCGACUCCUUCGGGAGGCAGCAAUGAGGAAUAUUGCACAAUGGGGGAAACCCUGAUGCAGCGACGCCGCGUGGGUGAGGAAGUCCUUCGGGAUGUAAAGCCCUUUUCUCGGGGACGAUUCCAGACGGUACCCGAGGAAUAAGCCCCGGCUAACUACGUGCCAGCAGCCGCGGUAAUACGUAGGGGGCGAGCGUUGUCCGGAUUUACUGGGCGUAAAGAGCGCGUAGGCGGAUGUUUAAGUGUGGCCUCAAAGCCCCCGGCUCAACCGGGGAUCUGGGUUGCAAACUGGGCAUCUUGAGGGGGAUAGAGGAGAGUGGAAUUCCUGGUGUAGCGGUGAAAUGCGUAGAUAUCAGGAGGAACACCCGUGGCGAAGGCGGCUCUCUGGGUCCGCCCUGACGCUGAGGCGCGAAAGCGUGGGGAGCGAACGGGAUUAGAUACCCCGGUAGUCCACGCCGUAAACGAUGAUCACUAGGUGUGUGCGGUAUCGACCCCGCACGUGCCGCAGCCUACGCAAUAAGUGAUCCGCCUGGGGAGUACGGCCGCAAGGUUGAAACUCAAAGGAAUUGAC
rnacentral:rRNA from 1 species